GCGCCCGUAGCUCAACUGGAUAGAGCACCAGGCUUCGAACCUGGCGGUUGGGGGUUCGAGUCCCUCCGGGCGUGCCA
rnacentral:tRNA from 2 species